GACGAACGCUGGCGGCGUGCUUAACACAUGCAAGUCGAACGGUAAGGCCCUUUCGGGGGUACACGAGUGGCGAACGGGUGAGUAACACGUGGGUGAUCCGCCCUGCACUUUGGGAUAAGCCUGGGAAACUGGGUCUAAUACCGGAUAGGACUACGCGAUGCAUGUCGUGUGGUGGAAAGCUUUUGCGGUGUGGGAUGGGCCCGCGGCCUAUCAGCUUGUUGGUGGGGUGAUGGCCUACCAAGGCGACGACGGGUAGCCGGCCUGAGAGGGUGUCCGGCCACACUGGGACUGAGAUACGGCCCAGACUCCUACGGGAGGCAGCAGUGGGGAAUAUUGCACAAUGGGCGCAAGCCUGAUGCAGCGACGCCGCGUGGGGGAUGACGGCCUUCGGGUUGUAAACCCCUUUCAGCACAGACGAAGCGUAAGUGACGGUAUGUGCAGAAGAAGCACCGGCCAACUACGUG
rnacentral:rRNA from 1 species